rnacentral:rRNA from 1 species
UACGUAGGGUCCGAGCGUUGUCCGGAAUUACUGGGCGUAAAGAGCUCGUAGGUGGUUUGUCGCGUUGUUCGUGAAAACUCACAGCUCAACUGUGGGCGUGCGGGCGAUACGGGCAGACUUGAGUACUGCAGGGGAGACUGGAAUUCCUGGUGUAGCGGUGAAAUGCGCAGAUAUCGGGAGGAACACCAGUAGCGAAGGCGGUUCUCUGGGCCGGCACUGACGCUGAGGAGCGAAAGCGUGGGGAGCAAACAGG